UACGUAGGGUGCGAGCGUUAAUCGGAAUUACUGGGCGUAAAGGGCGCGUAGGCGGCCUGCUAAGUCGAACGUGAAAUCCCCGAGCUCAACUCGGGAACUGCGUCCGAUACUGACAGGCUUGAAUCCGGGAGAGGGAUGCGGAAUUCCAGGUGUAGCGGUGAAAUGCGUAGAUAUCUGGAGGAACACCGGUGGCGAAGGCGGCAUCCUGGACCGGCAUUGACGCUGAGGCGCGAAAGCUAGGGGAGCAAACGGG
rnacentral:rRNA from 1 species